AUUGAACGCUGGCGGCAUGCUUUACACAUGCAAGUCGAACGGUAACAGGCCUUCGGGUGCUGACGAGUGGCGAACGGGUGAGUAAUGCAUCGGAACGUGCCCAAUCGUGGGGGAUAACGUAGCGAAAGUUACGCUAAUACCGCAUAAGCCCUGAGGGGGAAAGCAGGGGAUCGCAAGACCUUGCGCGAAUGGAGCGGCCGAUGUCAGAUUAGCUAGUUGGUGGGGUAAAGGCCUACCAAGGCAACGAUCUGUAGCGGGUCUGAGAGGAUGAUCCGCCACACUGGGACUGAGACACGGCCCAGACUCCUACGGGAGGCAGCAGUGGGGAAUUUUGGACAAUGGGCGCAAGCCUGAUCCAGCCAUGCCGCGUGCGGGACGAAGGCCUCGGUUGUAACCG
rnacentral:rRNA from 1 species